rnacentral:rRNA from 1 species
GCAUAUCAAUAAGCGGAGGAAAAGAAAAUAACAAUGAUUCCCUUAGUAACGGCGAGUGAAGAGGGAUAAGCUCAAACUUUAAAUCUGUCUGGUUAUACUAAACAGAGUUGUAAUUUGAAGAAACGUUUUCUGCGUCUUGAAUUAUCCUAAAUCCUUUGGGAUAAGGUAUCAUGGAGGGUGACAAUCCCGUUCAUGGUUAAUUCUAAGGUGCUUUACGAUCCGUUUUCCAAGAGUCGAGUUGUUUGGGAUUGCAGCUCAAAAUGGGAGGUAAAUUUCUCCUAAAGCUAAAUAUUGGCGAGAGACCGAUAGCGAACAAGUACCGUGAGGGAAAGAUGAAAAGAACUUUGAAAAGAGAGUUAAACAGUACGUGAAAUUGUUGAAAGGGAAACGAUUGAAGUCAGUCGUACCAACGGGAAAUCAAUUCAUCAAGUGUUGAAUUUGGGUUUUUGAAGAGUUGUAAAACCUUUGGGAUUCAAAUAUUUUCACUUUUUGAACGUAUUUUCUCGUACGGUAGGUUAACAUCGAUUUUGAACAUUAUAAAAUGAUCGGAGGAAUGUAGCUUCGAUCUCGUAUUGAAGUGUUAUAGCCUUUGGUAGAUGUAAUGAUCGAGAUCGAGGAUUGCAACGAAUACCCUUUUGGGCUAUCCGUCUGAUCUCUGAUACGUUGCCUCGGUAACGAAAGCGUGCUUACGGUAUUGAGGUAUUACGGUCAAAAGGUUAGAACGUGAUUACAUUCGUUAAGGAUGUUGACGUA